rnacentral:rRNA from 1 species
AACAGGAUUAGAUACCCUGGUAGUCCACACAGUAAACGAUGAAUACUCGCUGUUUGCGAUAUACAGCAAGCGGCCAAGCGAAAGCAUUAAGUAUUCCACCUGGGGAGUACGCCGGCAACGGUGAAACUCAAAGGAAUUGACGGGGGCCCGCACAAGCGGAGGAACAUGUGGUUUAAUUCGAUGAUACGCGAGGAACCUUACCCGGGCUUAAAUUGCAACUGACGGAUUUGGAAACAGAUCUUCCUUCGGGCAGUUGUGAAGGUGCUGCAUGGUUGUCGUCAGCUCGUGCCGUGAGGUGUCGGCUUAAGUGCCAUAACGAGCGCAACCCUUAUCUUUAGUUACUAACAGGUCAUGCUGAGGACUCUAGAGAGACUGCCGUCGUAAGAUGUGAGGAAGGUGGGGAUGACGUCAAAUCAGCACGGCCCUUACGUCCGGGGCUACACACGUGUUACAAUGGGGGGUACAGAAGGCAGCUACACAGCGAUGUGAUGCUAAUCCCAAAAGCCUCUCUCAGUUCGGAUUGGAGUCUGCAACCCGACUCCAUGAAGCUGGAUUCGCUAGUAAUCGCGCAUCAGCCACGGCGCGGUGAAUACGUUCCCGGGCCUUGUACACACCGCCCGUCAAGCCAUGAAAGCCGGGGGUACCUGAAGUACGUAACCGCAAGGAGCGUCCUAGGGUAAAACUGGUAAUUGGGGCUAAGUCGUAACAAGGUAACC